rnacentral:rRNA from 1 species
UACAGAGGGUGCAAGCGUUAGUCGGAAUUAUUGGGCGUAAAGGGCGCGUAGGCGGUUGAUUAAGUGAGAUGUGAAAGCCCCGGGCUUAACCUGGGAAUGGCAUUUCAGACUGGUCGGCUAGAGUAGAGUAGAGGUGAGUGGAAUUUCUGGUGUAGCAGUGAAAUGCGUAGAGAUCAGAAGGAACACCAAUGGCGAAGGCAGCUCACUGGACUCAUACUGACGCUGAGGCGCGAAGGCGUGGGGAGCAAACAGG